UGGGGAAUAUUGGACAAUGGGCGAAAGCCUGAUCCAGCCAUGCCGCGUGUGUGAAGAAGGUCUUCGGAUUGUAAAGCACUUUAAGUUGGGAGGAAGGGCAGUAAGCGAAUACCUUGCUGUUUUGACGUUACCGACAGAAUAAGCACCGGCUAACUCUGUGCCAGCAGCCGCGGUAAUACAGAGGGUGCAAGCGUUAAUCGGAAUUACUGGGCGUAAAGCGCGCGUAGGUGGUUCGUUAAGUUGAAUGUGAAAGCCCCGGGCUCAACCUGGGAACUGCAUCCAAAACUGGCGAGCUAGAGUAUGGCAGAGGGUGGUGGAAUUUCCUGUGUAGCGGUGAAAUGCGUAGAUAUAGGAAGGAACACCAGUGGCGAAGGCGACCACCUGGGCUCAUACUGACACUGAGGUGCGAAAGCGUGGGGAGCAAACAGG
rnacentral:rRNA from 1 species